UACGUAGGGUGCGAGCGUUAAUCGGAAUUACUGGGCGUAAAGCGUGCGCAGGCGGCGCGUUAAGACAGGUGUGAAAGCCCCGAGCUUAACUUGGGAAUUGCGCUUGUGACUGGCGUGCUGGAGUGUGGCAGAGGGAGGUGGAAUUCCACGUGUAGCAGUGAAAUGCGCAGAUAUCAGGAGGAACACCGGUGGCGAAGGCGCCACUCUGGGCCGAAACUGACGCUGAGGAGCGAAAGCGUGGGUAGCAAACAGG
rnacentral:rRNA from 1 species